CAUUUUUAACACUGGAAGCACCAGAAUUGUAUAACUCUCUGAAACUCUCACAUGGUCACACACUGAAGCUUAGCAGGGCUGUGCCUAGUCAGUACCUGCAUGGGAGACCACAUCGGAAAGCUAGGUUGUUG
ensembl:rRNA 5S_rRNA 5S ribosomal RNA